CAGUCGCCGUGGUAAUACGUAGGGUGCAAGCGUUAAUCGGAAUUACUGGGCGUAAAGCGUGCGCAGGCGGUUUGUUAAGACAGAUGUGAAAUCCCCGGGCUCAACCUGGGAACUGCAUUUGUGACUGGCAAGCUAGAGUAUGGCAGAGGGGGGUGGAAUUCCGCGUGUAGCAGUGAAAUGCGUAGAUAUGCGGAGGAACACCGAUGGCGAAGGCAGCCCCCUGGGCCAAUACUGACGCUCAUGCACGAAAGCGUGGGGAGCAAACAGGAUUAGAUACCCCGGUAGUCCCUGUCUCUUAUAC
rnacentral:rRNA from 1 species